rnacentral:rRNA from 1 species
UACGGGGGGGGUAAGCGUUGUUCGGAAUUACUGGGCGUAAAGGGCUCGUAGGCGGCCAACUAAGUCGGACGUGAAAUCCCUCAGCUUAACUGGGGAACUGCGUCCGAUACUGGAUGGCUUGGAUUUGGGAGAGGGAUGCGGAAUUCCAGGUGUAGCGGUGAAAUGCGUAGAUAUGCGGAGGAACACCGAUGGCGAAGGCAAUCCCCUGGACCUGUACUGACGCUCAUGCACGAAAGCGUGGGGAGCAAACAGG